ACGAACGCUGGCGGCGUGCCUAAUCCCUGCAAGUCGAACGAACCGCGACUGAGUGCUUGCACUUGGUCAAGGUGAGUGGCGAACGGGUGAGUAACACGUGGGUAACCUACCUCAUAGUGGGGGAUAACAGUCGGAAACGACUGCUAAUACCGCAUAGGACAUGGAAUCACAUGAUUCUGUGAGGAAAGGUGGCGCAAGCUAUCGCUAAGAGAUGGACCCGCGGUGCAUUAGCUAGUUGGUAGGGUAAGGGCCUACCAAGGCGAUGAUGCAUAGCCGACCUGAGAGGGUGAUCGGCCACAUUGGGACUGAGACACGGCCCAAACUCCUACGGGAGGCAGCAGUAGGGAAUCUUCCGCAAUGGACGCAAGUCUGACGGAGCAACGCCGCGUGAGUGAAGAAGGUCUUCGGAUCGUAAAGCUCUGUUGUUAGAGAAGAACAGCGCAUAGAGUAACUGUUAUGCGUGUGACGGUAUCUAACCAGAAAGCCACGGCUAACUACGUG
rnacentral:rRNA from 1 species